rnacentral:rRNA from 1 species
UAGGGAAUCUUCGGCAAUGGGGGGAACCCUGACCGAGCAACGCCGCGUGAGUGAAGAAGGUUUUCGGAUCGGAAAGCUCUGUUGUUAAGGAAGAACGAGUGUGAGAAUGGAAAGUUCAUGCUGUGACGGUACUUAACCAGAAAGGGACGGCUAACUACGUGCCAGCAGCCGCGGUAAUACGUAGGUCCCGAGCGUUGUCCGGAUUUAUUGGGCGUAAAGCGAGCGCAGGCGGUUAGAAAAGUCUGAAGUGAAAGGCAGUGGCUCAACCAUUGUAGGCUUUGGAAACUGUUUAACUUGAGUGCAGAAGGGGAGAGUGGAAUUCCAUGUGUAGCGGUGAAAUGCGUAGAUAUAUGGAGGAACACCGGUGGCGAAAGCGGCUCUCUAGUCUGUAACUGACGCUGAGGCUCGAAAGCGUUGGGAGCGAACAGG